GACGAACGCUGGCGGCGUGCUUAACACAUGCAAGUCGAACGAAGUGGCGAACGGGUGAGUAAUACGUGGGUAACUUGCCCUCCUUUUUGGGAUAAGACUUGGAACCGGGGUCUAUUACCGAAUAAAGGGGGAUGGGCUCGCGGUCUAUCAGCUUGUUGGUGGGGUGAUGGCUAACCAAGGCGGUGACGGGUAGCCGGCCUGAGAGGGUGAACGGCGACGUAGGGACGGCGAUACGUCCCAGGUUCCUACGGGGGGGAGCAGUGGGGGAUAUUGCACAAUGGGCGAAAGACUGAUGCAGCGAGUACGCGUGGGGGAUGAGGGCUGUAGGGUUGUAAACCUCGUUCGCUAUGGAACGGGUAUGUAGAGAAGAAGCGCCGGCUAACUACGUGCCAGCAGCCGCGGUAAUUC
rnacentral:rRNA from 1 species